rnacentral:tRNA from 1 species
AUAAAGAUAAGCUAAAUUUAAUAAGCUUUUAGACUCAUAAUCUAACCAUAGAAUAAUUCUUCUUUAUA